GAUGAACGCUGGCGGCGUGCCUAAUACAUGCAAGUCGAGCGAACAGACGAGGAGCUUGCUCCUCUGACGUUAGCGGCGGACGGGUGAGUAACACGUGGAUAACCUACCUAUAAGACUGGGAUAACUUCGGGAAACCGGAGCUAAUACCGGAUAAUAUAUUGAACCGCAUGGUUCAAUAGUGAAAGACGGUUUUGCUGUCACUUAUAGAUGGAUCCGCGCCGCAUUAGCUAGUUGGUACGUUAACAGCUUACCAAGGCAACGAUGCGUAGCCGACCGGUGAGGGUGAUCGGCCACACUGGAGCUGAGACACGGUCCAGACUACUACGGGAGGCAGCAGUCGGGAAUCGUCCGCAAUGGGCGAAAGCCUGACGGAGCAACGCCGCGUGAGUGAUGAAGGUCUUCGGAGCGUAAAACCCUGUUAUUAGGGAAGAACAAAUGUGUAAGGAAAUAUGCAGGUCUUGACGGUACCUAAUCAGAAAGCCACGGCUAACUACGUG
rnacentral:rRNA from 1 species